rnacentral:lncRNA from 1 species
AAUAGGUCUUGUGACCAAUUAAUGGACAUCUCCAUACUCUCCUGCUAGGGAGCCAGAUGGAGUGAGUCAGCCCAAGCUGCUCAACCUGUUGAGUGUUUUGUCUUUGCUAACUGGAGUACAAGGAACAGAAGUAGGAACUUCUAAAAGAGGAAAUUAGUGGGCUGCUGCAAGUAGCUUGUUUCAUAUGCUGUACAGGAAGUGAGAUGAUCGCUGCUCACUGCAGAAUAUCCCUCAAAUAAUAUUCCUUCAAGAUUUGUGUCCAGUCCAAGUUGAUGGUUAGGGUAAACCGGAAGAACUUUAAAUGCUUGGGACAUGUGUGGCGGCUCAGCGAAAACCACAAACCAGCCAGGGGCCUGGCCAGAUUCA